CCUACGGGGGGCGGCAGUGGGGAAUCUUGCGCAAUGGGCGAAAGCCUGACGCAGCGACGCCGCGUGGGGGAAGAAGGCCUUAGGGUUGUAAACCUCUUUCAGUAGGGACGAAGCCACUCGGGUUAAUAGCCCAGAGGGUGACGGUACCUACAGAAGAAGCCCCGGCUAACUACGUGCCAGCAGCCGCGGUAAUACGUAGGGGGCAAGCGUUGUCCGGAUUUAUUGGGCGUAAAGAGCGUGUAGGCGGCCAGAUAGGUCUGUUGUGAAAACUGGAGGCUUAACCUUCAGACGUCGAUGGAAACCAUCUGGCUAGAGUCCGGAAGAGGAGAAUGGAAUUCCUGGUGUAGCGGUGAAAUGCGCAGAUAUCAGGAAGAACACCCGUGGCGAAGGCGGUUCUCUGGGACGGUACUGACGCUGAGACGCGAAAGCGUGGGGAGCGAACAGGAUUAGAUACCCUGGUAGUCCACGCCGUAAACGAUGAGUGCUAGGUGUGGGGGGUGUCGACUCCCCCCGUGCCGAAGCUAACGCAUUAAGCACUCCGCCUGGGGAGUACGGCCGCAAGGCUAAAACUCAAAGGAAUUGACGG
rnacentral:rRNA from 1 species